AUUGUUUCCAUUGACAGACUCAAACCCACAUUCUUACUCGCAGAAUACACCCAACAACAGGCUGCAAACAAACAAAGAUCAAAAGCACAACCGCACACAGACCUUCGACAGAAAAGGAAACACACUCCACUAGUACAACAAAAAACGGAACUGAACCACUCUGAUUUAGAACAACACGAUAGACUCACACUUAAGUCCAGUCUACGGUCCACAAGGCACGGCAGAAAAAUACAUCUCCCUGUUCAUUUCAGGUAAUGCUGCUGCUAGGAGGGGGUACUGCAGUGACCCCUACUGAUCAAAAAGUCUACUAUACCCGAAAUAUAACGAGCAGCCCCUCAGGCAAUACCCCACUAGGAGUAGCCAGCUUGACCGCACCACCAACACUUCGGCCAGACUCCGACGUGAAAGGACAUCGAUCCGAUUGUCGCGAUUUUUUAGGAUAUAUAAAUCAUAACGUUACUU
rnacentral:lncRNA from 1 species